UACGUAGGGUGCGAGCGUUGUCCGGAUUUAUUGGGCGUAAAGAGCUCGUAGGCGGCUUGUCGCGUCGACUGUGAAAACCCGCGGCUCAACCGCGGGCCUGCAGCCGAUACGGGCAGGCUAGAGUUCGGUAGGGGAGACUGGAAUUCCUGGUGUAGCGGUGAAAUGCGCAGAUAUCGGGAGGAACACCGGUGGCGAAGGCG
rnacentral:rRNA from 1 species